rnacentral:rRNA from 1 species
CGCUGCCUACGGGGGGCAGCAGUGGGGAAUAUUGCGCAAUGGGCGAAAGACUGACGCAGCGACGCCGCGUGAGGGAUGAAGGUCUUCGGAUCGUAAACCUCUGUCAGCAGGGAAGAACGGUCACUGUGCUAAUCAGCAGUGCAUUGACGGUACCUGCAAAGGAAGCACCGGCUAACUCCGUGCCAGCAGCCGCGGUAAUACGGAGGGUGCGAGCGUUAAUCGGAAUUACUGGGCGUAAAGCGCUCGUAGGCGGUAUGUCAAGUCAAGUGUGAAAUCCCCGCGCUCAACAUGGGAAC